CUUCGCGUGCCAAAAACCUCUCCCUUAUUGCACUUCUUCCUCUCUAUCUGAUAGUUUGCAUCAGUUUUGCUUUCAAGUUUCAUUAAUUGUGUAAAUUCGGGCAUAAUUCAUAAUUCAUAAUUAAUGAUAGAUAUUCUGUCAUGGCUUACAGCUAGCUAAUCGUUGUGUGAACUCUAAAAUUAAGAAUUUUCCUCCGUAUGAAGCCACAAGAUCUUGAUUUGUGCAAAUAAUCUAAUGUUUAUACGUUUGCUUGCAGGCUUUUACAGAGGAUGCUGCAAGAAUGUUUCAAAAAAAAUCGAGGAGCGAGUUUAUGAUAAUUCUAAUGAGGCGAAUAUGUACAAGUUAUCUCCCUGCAAUUAGAUUGUUUUGAUAUUUGAUUGUUUCUUCAUCACAUUGGACACUUUAUACAGUGAUCAAGGUGUUACUUUUUUUUGCCUUAUUGUAGAGUUUCUGCUUUCCGAAGAAAUGUUGUGUGAAAAUAUGAGUGUGACCGGAAUGUCAAGGUAGGCAGGGGCAGCCAAGAGCCAAUUGUCAAAAACCUUUUGCAUGGCUGAUUGUCAAAAACUAUGCAGAUUUGGGGGAAAGUUUGAACCCUCCAUUUUUCGUGAUAAAAAAUAAUGAGGAAUUAAUAUCAUGCUCAUUAAAUCAAGAAAUAAAGAAGUCAAUGUUUGCCAAUUACACACCAGGGUUUGUGUUUGCUUCUAAGGCUUGGUCUAUUUGGAUCCAUCAUGCGCCAAUUACUUGCUAAUUAUAUCUGACUGAUUCUCUUAUUUAUAAUGUCCUCCAGCAUGCUAUGCCAAAGCUUUGUGCCAAUUGUUCAUGAACUUGCCAGUGCAAGGCAUAAAAACCUUUUGUGGUAUUCCAGUUAAAGUCCAGGCCGGUGUCAUUUGUUGAAAGCUUGGUGACAGAAGAUUUUAAUUGAGAUUUGGUGAAUUUGAUCAGGGGAGAAAAGGUUGGGAGGAGAUUGAGAUUAGUAGAUUACCAUUUUCAAGUCUGUUGAUUCGGCUCUUGUGGAUCUUCUAUGCGCUUAAUCAGUGUAUGAGAGUAACAAGAAUGCUCCAGCUUCAUCAACAUAAAUAGUUUUUAGUUUUGUAGGGGUAUCUGCUAUCUGGAGUGUAUAUGCUUCAUAUUUCUGUUUAACAUUUAAUAAAUCAUGAAUAAUCAUGUUGAGUUUUGCA